GGUGCUAACUUGGAAGCUUGAGCAGAGGGGAUGGUAGGGCCGAUGAACUGGGGGGAUUGAUAAUGAAACAGGAAGGCUUUCCUCACCAAAUGCCCAGCUGGUGCCUGGAAGCUGGUCGGGAUCCAGAGCCUAGUUCACAGAUUAGAGGACCCUGCAGUGAGUUGGCAGUCUCCGCGGGCGGGGCCGUUGAACAGGGGUUUGCCCUAUUCUGGAUGGUCUGAAGGAAGAUGUUAAUUACGAAAGAACAUCCGGUUCUUGGCAUUCUGUGUAGAAGAAAUCAAUGAUGUUGAAGACCCUAAAGAGAAUCACUGAUUUUGCGGAGGCUUAAUAAAAAGUCAACAAUCAAACAAAAGCCUUUUCCCCUCUGAAUCAUUAUAUGCUGUUGUUCCUGAACAUCUGGGCGGAGGGGAGGUCUGCCUUCACGUGGGCCUCCUCAAAGUACUGCUUCUCGGGCUGUAGCUGUGUCUCUGUUUAUGCCUCAUUUGGAACUGAAGCCAUCAUUCCAAGAUUCUCUUUCUGGAGCUGCCACUAACUAUGUGGGUGAAUUAUUUUCCAACUUUGAACUUCAGUUUUCAAAAUGGAACAAGUCAGGCGAGACUUGCUGUAAUUGAUGAAAGUCGAUGAAAAUACCACUCAGAUUUAGGGCUUAAUCGUAUACUCUUCUGUUGUUUCCUGGGUAUCCAUCUCGUCUUGACAGCCAGCUCUUCAAGCAGGGGGACAGUGUCACACUCCAUGGGAAAGAGCAUAAAAUGUAGAAGCAGAAGCCGUGGCUUCAGGCCCCAGCUCUGUGACCUGGCAGCUCACGUCGCUUUGGUGAGUCAGUGAACCUCUGCCAGGCAUGCUCUCCUCCACUGUAAAACUAGCUGACGGACCCAAAACACAGGGUAAUUUUGAGGACUAAGGGAAAUAAUCAUUAACACAGCACUUGAUAAAUUUUAAAAAAGGAUGUUCAUUAUGGUUAUUUGUGUUGCCCCAGAGCCCUGCCAUGUGCAACGUUAAAUAAGUUUUGUUGAAUGCUGUCUAAGAACAAAGCUCAGACUUUUGCCUUUACUGAUUUUAAAAUCACUGAAGAAGAGUAUUGUUGGUAUAUAAUUGAAACUGAUUUCAUUUCCAAUGCAAAA
rnacentral:lncRNA from 1 species